AGACCCGAAACCCGGUGAUCUAGCCAUGGGCAGGUUGAAGGUUGGGUAACACUAACUGGAGGACCGAACCGACUAAUGUUGAAAAAUUAGCGGAUGACCUGUGGCUGGGGGUGAAAGGCCAAUCAAACCGGGAGAUAGCUGGUUCUCCCCGAAAGCUAUUUAGGUAGCGCCUCGUGAAUUCAUCUCCGGGGGUAGAGCACUGUUUCGGCUAGGGGGCCAUCCCGGCUUACCAACCCGAUGCAAACUGCGAAUACCGGAGAAUGUUAUCACGGGAGACACACGGCGGGUGCUAACGUCCGUCGUGAAGAGGGAAACAACCCAGACCGCCAGCUAAGGUCCCAAAGUCAUGGUUAAGUGGGAAACGAUGUGGGAAGGCCCAGACAGCCAGGAUGUUGGCUUAGAAGCAGCCAUCAUUUAAAGAAAGCGUAAUAGCUCACUGGUCGAGUCGGCCUGCGCGGAAGAUGUAACGGGGCUAAACCAUGCACCGAAGCUGCGGCAGCGAACGUAUCACUUAAAGCGAUUCAGCGGGUUACGAUUGACGGAGCGAAGCGACGUCAAAGCGUAUACAAAGUCGAGUCGGUUUAAGGAUACGUUCGUUGGGUAGGGGAGCGUUCUGUAAGCCUGUGAAGGUGU
rnacentral:rRNA from 4 species